GAUGAAGAACGUAGCGAAAUGCGAUAAGUAAUGUGAAUUGCAGAAUUCAGUGUAUCAUCGAAUCUUUGAACGCACAUUGCGCCCCCUGGUAUUCCGGGGGGCAUGCCUGUUCGAGCGUCAUUUCACCACUCAAGCCUCGCUUGGUAUUGGGCAACGCGGUCCGCCGCGUGCCUCAAAUCGACCGGCUGGGUCUUCUGUCCCCUAAGCGUUGUGGAAACUAUUCGCUAAAGGGUGUUCGGGAGGCUACGCCGUAAAACAACCCCAUUUCUAAGGUUGACCUCGGAUCAGGUAGGGAUACCCGCUGAACUUAAGCAUAUCAAUAAGCGGAGGA
rnacentral:misc_RNA from 1 species